AAGCUCUUGUAUCUGAUGAGUAUUUUCCUAUGAAUGAUAAAUAAAUACCUAAAGGUGAAAGGUUUUUUUUUAUAUUAACCAUUUUGUAUUGCAUGAGAUUUCAACUGCAAAGUCCAUGAAAAGUAGUGUGAUUGUCUGGGUUGAGAUAAUUAAUGUAUAAUUUGUUUAAGGAUUUCUUCUAAUUAAUGAACUACAGUUGAAUUGUAAAAAGGAAAUCUGACUGUUAAACAAAAAUUUUUCAAACCAUGCAGAUAUACUGGUUCAAGUACUUCAGAUUGCUUUUGAACAAUCUCAUCUUAUGAAAAAAGAACCCACAUCAUAUUCAUAUAUGAUGUCAGCUCUUUCUUCAAAAAAAGUGGGAAGUGAUUGAAAUCACAAGGGCUUGAGUUUUUAAUUCAUGUAGUUUAAGAAAAUAAGUCAAUUGUGGUAAUGAUGUUUCCUUUUGAACACUGGGAAGGUACCUUUGGUAUCAAAACUGUUCUGAAGGUCAAAAUCAAAGACACUUACUGAGAAUCUCUGCUCAUAAGUGAGAGUAUUUCUGUAAUUUUAUGUUAAUUAAUAAACUAUGUUAAUGAC